rnacentral:tRNA from 1 species
GAGAGAAUAGCUCAGUGGUAGAGUGCAAGCCCAUCAAGCAUGAGGUCCUGGGUUUGAUCCCCAGUACCUCCA